rnacentral:piRNA from 1 species
UGAAUCUAAGAAAGAAGGAAAAGCAUUGU